rnacentral:lncRNA from 1 species
UGGAUUUUGCUUGUGUGAUCUAUGCUUCACUAAGAAGACAAUAAUGAGCGUUUUUUUAGAAUUUCGCUGACCAUAGUUAUGUGCUAUUUCUUUUUCUUUAUAAAGGUUGAAAAGUCAAACAGAGUUUCUAUUGGUCUCAUUUAUUUGAAUCAUAAUAAUACUGAUAUAUUGUGCUUGGUCUUUACAUAUAUGCUUAGGUACAUGAGUUACUCCUGUAGGUUAUAAUCCAUAUGAUAUUAUAAAUAUAUAUGUUGAUUUCUG